AUAUUUAUGUUUGUGGCAAUGAAAAAGCUAGUGAGAUGAAACUGAGGCAUGCCAAUUGUUGGUUGAAAACUAUUUCCAAUUUGCCAACAAUUAAAAUUUAAAUUUAAAUCGCAAUUGAAAGUGAAAUACAUCUAUGUG
rnacentral:snRNA from 1 species